rnacentral:lncRNA from 9 species
AAUGGCUCUGCUUCCCGCAGUCCACCUAAACAGCCAUCGAAAUGUGGGGGGCAUUGAUCAAGCCAGCUGCCAGGGGCCCCCAGGUGCUGGGCCUGGCCCUGGAGCCCUGCCUUGGGCGCCCCCUCCAGCAGCUCUGGGUGUAGGGAGGCAUCUGCCAGGACUGCGGACAAAGGGAGUGUUUGCCUGGACACGUGUUGCUUCUGGGACAAGGCCCUGAAGGUUGAGCAACCAUCAAGAUGCCCGGUCUGCUGAACCAGGUCACAGGGGCGGCCCUGCCCCUCACCGCGUCCGAUGUCACCUCCUUCGUCAGUGGUUACGCCUUGGGUCUCACUGCCUCCCUCACCUAUGGCAACCUGGAAGCCCAGCCCUUCCAGGGCCUCUUUGUAUACCCCCUGGAUGAGUACACCACGGUGAUCGGCUUCGAGGCCGUCAUUGCCGACCGUGUCGUGACAGUUCAGAUCAAGGACAAAGCCAAGAUGGAGAGAGACAUUUUGCCAAUGGGGGUUUCCGUCACCCCUCCUCCCUGCCCAUCAGGAAAGGUGGCUCUGGACGAGGAUUUGGAGCGGAUCCUGUUCGUGGUCAACCUGGGGACCAUCGCCCCUCUGGAGAACGUCACCAUCUUCCUGAGCACGUCCUCGGAGCUCCAGACGCUGCCCAGCGGGGCCGUGAGGGUCCUGCUGCCUGCCGUCUGUGCCCCGACUGUGCCCCAGUUCUGCACCAGUCCCUCCAGCCAACCAACCCAAGGCAAAGACAGGCAUUGCUUUGGCUCCCGGGCCCUGGACUCCUGGAACAAAUUGUGCCUGUCGACCUUCCUGGACACCGACGUGUCCAAUCCCAUGGAAUACGAGUUCAACUUCCAGCUGGAGAUCCGAGGGCCAUGCCUGCUGGCAGGGGUGGAGAGCCCCACCCACGAGAUACGAGCCGACGCCGCCCCGUCCGCCCGCUCUGCCAAGAGUGUCCUCAUCACCUUGGCCAACAGGCACACCUUCGACCGCCCAGUGGAGAUCCUCAUCCACCCCAGCGAGCCCCACAUGCCACAUGUCUUGAUGGAGAAAGGGGACAUGACCCUGGGAGAGUUUGACCAGCAUUUGAAGGGAAGAACAGAUUUCAUUAAAGGAAUGAAGAAGAACAGCAGUGCAGAGAGAAAGACAGAAAUAAUCCGGAAACGCCUCCACAAGGACAUUCCCCACCAUUCUGUCAUCAUGCUCAACUUCUGUCCUGACCUCCAGUCAGUCCAGCCCAACCUGAGAAAGACCCAUGGAGAGUUUAUCUUCCUCAUCGACAGGAGUGGAAGCAUGAGUGGGACCAGCAUCCACAGGGUCAAGGAUGCCAUGCUGGUGGCUCUUAAGAGCCUCAUGCCAGCCUGCCUCUUCAAUGUCAUUUGGUUUGGAUCCACAUUUAAGACCCUCUUCCCUUCCAGUCAGACCUACAGUGAGGAGAGCUUGGCCAUGGCCUGUGAUAACAUCCAGAAGAUGCGAGCCGACAUGGGUGGCACCAACAUCCUCUCCCCACUCAAGUGGAUCAUCCGGCAGCCAGUGCUCCAAGGCCACCCCAGGCUUCUCUUCCUGAUCACAGAUGGUGCCGUCCACAACACCGGGAAAGUGCUGGAGCUGGUGCGAAACCACGCCUUCUCCACCAGGUGCUAUAGCUUUGGAAUUGGCCCCAACGUCUGCCACAGACUGGUGAAAGGGCUGGCAACCGUGUCCAAGGGCAGUGCUGAGUUCCUGGUGGAGGGGGAGCGGCUGCAACCCAAGAUGGUCAAAUCCCUGAAGAAGGCCAUGGCUCCAGUCCUGAGUGAUGUGACUGUGGAGUGGGUCUUCCCUGAAACCACUGAGGUCCUGAUCUCACCUGUCAGCUCCAGCUCCCUCUUCCCUGGAGAACGGUUGGUGGGGUAUGGCAUUGUCUGUGAUGCUUCCUUAUACAUCUCCAAUCCCAGAACCGACAAGAGAAGACGAUACAGCAUGCUACACUCUCAGGAGUCUGGCAGCUCUGUCUUCUACCACUCACAAGAUGAGGGGCCCAGCCCAGACAGUGGAGAUUGUGCCAAGAGCUUGGGGGCACCCUUCAGCCUGAGGCAAGCCAAAGACACCCAGCCAUCCAGUGGAGACCCCACCAUCAAUCCUGGUCUAGUCCUCUCCCAGCGACGGCGGGCGUACAGCACCAACCAGAUCACCAACCACAAGCCCUCCCCAAGGGCCCCCACGGCCAGUGACCCCACAACGGCUGCCAGGAGAUACCCACUGCGAAAAGCCAAGCUCCAAGACCUCACCAACAAGACCAGCCUGGAUGCUCCGCGGUGGCAAAUUGAUUUGCAGCCCUUGCUGAACAGUGGGGCGGACCUGAGCCAGGGCCCCAAACUCCGGGGUCCAGGGGCCCGCAGGCCCUCUCUGCUGCCCCAAGGCUGCCAGCCUUUCCUAGCCUCUGGCCAAGAGACCCAGAUCUGGAGCCCCCUGAAAGAGCUGGAUCUGGGGUCCAGCCUCAAGCCUGCCUCAGACAGCCGCAGCCCUGGGGACCCGGCCGUCCCAUCACCUCUCCUCCUCGAGACGGAGACAUCCUCGGACUGGGAGCCCCUGGCCGAGUCUGAAGAGCAGGCCAGUCCCAGCAGGCCUGCCACCCCAGGCCCUGUGAGGGGCAAGGCUGUGGUCAAGGGCCUGCGCGACAGCCAACGUUUGCAGUGGGAGGUGAGCUUUGAGCUGGGGCCUCCCGGCCCCGAGAAGGGUAGCGCUCGAGAGGCCGACCUGUGGAGCGAGACCUUCCACCACCUGGCGGCCCGCGCCAUCAUCCGCGACUUCGAACAGCUGGCGGAGCGCGAGGGCGACAUCGAGCAAGGGUCCAGCCGCCGCUACCAGGUGAAUGCUGUCCACACCAGCAAGGCCUGCAAUGUCAUCAGUAAGUUCACAGCCUUCGUGCCUGUGGACAUCAGCAAGAGCUGUUACCUGCCCACCGUGGUGGGCUACCCCAACUCUGGUAAGGCAGGUGCACACUCUCGGGUCCUGACCCAACAGUGGAGGGGCACUUCUGCUGGUUUCGGACGGUCCCAGACCAUGCUGGGGGAAGACUCAGCAGCAGAAGAUGGCAGAUUUCAGAACCUAAGUAAGAAGCCGCCUGGGGUAUGUUCUGAAGCCUGGGCAGCAGUGGCCCCUCUUUCUCGGCUCCACCCACACAGGCUGAAUCUCAACAAGUCCAGGCUGCUGACGAGAGCAGCCAAGGGCUUCCUGGGCAAGCCACUGACCAAGGCUCCAGAGUCAGCCCCGGGAGUGUCUCUGCAGCUGGCCUCGGGAGCCUUCCUGCUCGACCAAGCCUUCUGCGAGGCCAUCGGCAUCCCCAUGGAGAAGCUCAAGUGGACCUCGCCCUUCACCUGCCACCGAGUGUCCCUCACCACCCGCCAGUGCCCAGGUCCUCAGAUAUGCACCAGCCGCUCACCUCGGCACUCCUCCUGUGACAGCUGCUCCCCAGAGCCUCUGGCUGAGGGCAAGCCGGGCUGGGAGCCUGGGGCUAUGAUAGAGCACACGGGGAAGCUGUGGGCCACAGUGGUGGCACUGGCUUGGCUGGAGCACAGCUCUGCCUCCUACUUUGUUGAGUGGGAGCUGGUGGCGGCCAAGGCCAGCUCGUGGCUGGAGCAACAGGAGGUGCCCGAGGGCCGCACGCGGGGCACGCUCAAGGCUGCCGCCCGCCAGCUGUUCGUGCUCCUGCGACACUGGGACGAGAACCUGGAGUUCAAUAUGCUCUGCUAUCACCCGAAUUAUGUGUAG